AUUAAGUAUUGGCAUUUAAUUUCAGGUUGUUCUGCAGUAAGCAAGUCUAUGCAAACCUCUUCCCAAAGUCCAAGGAAACUGAGAGACCAAAGAAAGAGGCUGACAAAUCCAAUUUUUCAGAAAGUAACAUCUAAUAGAAACUUAUGAACAGAAGUCAUGUCUGUGUUUUGGGCAGCUGUGAGACAAGAUGAUGGAUCCCAGGGCCAUUAUCCCCCAGACCCAGGCUUUAUAAAUCACAGGGAAGGAAUGUGUAGGAUAACCGAAAUCAACAUCUCAAGGAAAAGCAAAAAUGGUAUGUGAAUCUGCCGAAGGGCAGGAUUUAUUGUCAAGGUUGUUUUGACCUAAGGGUAGGAUUUAUGUUAAGUACACAAGAAACAGUGAUAAAAUAGAAAUCUUAGAGGCAUUUCUGGAACUGGAGUUAGUCAGAAGCCAACAUGGCAGAUUUGCAUCGAAGAUGGAUUUGCCUUUAGCCUCCGUAUAAGUACAUACUACUGAACUCUAAAUGCUUAAAGGAAGAGACUAUGUCCAUUUUAGUAUAGAUUUAAUAUACUUACUAAAUCUAUAUGGCAUCAAAACUUCAUGAAUAUUGUUAACAAAUGAUUUUGGUAGCUCAGAUAAGCAUUAUUACAUUGUUGUUUAUCUGUAUAUUUUUCACAGAAGUGCUUUUCAAAUUCUUUUGAAAACUUAGUUUUACAGGGGGUUUGUAGUUUCAAUAAUUACACACACACACACACACACAAAGGAGUCAAACAAUAAAGAAUUUUUCAUCUUGCUAUGAAGAUCUUAACUGCCAUACAUUCCUGUUCUUGAUUUGUAUUAAUUCUAUAUUUUUAUGAUUUUAAUAAAUGUCUAGAAUCAUGUAAUCAUCACCCCAAUGAAGAAAUGGGACAUUUUUAUCUCAUGAGAAAGUUCCCUUUGCAGUCAAUCCUACUUCCUCCCUCCACAUCACAAAAGUGAUUUGAUUUCUGUCAUUAUAGAUUAGUUUUAUUUGUUCUGAAGUUUAAAUAAAUUGAUCAUACAGUGUAUAGUCAUUUGCAUCUAGCUUCUUUUGCUCAACAUAAUAUCUCUGAAAUUCAAUCAUAUUGUUUUCUGUAUCUGCAAUUAGUUCAUUUUCAUUGCUGACUACUAUUCCAUUGUUUAAAUUUACCACAAUUUGUUUAUCCACCCACCUGUUGAUGGACAGUUUGUUUCCAAUUCUUUACUAGGAAUAAAGUUGCUAUGAG
rnacentral:lncRNA from 10 species